UUAACUUAAUUAUUACAAACCCAAAUCCCAAAUAUAAACCUAAGUCUUACAUAAUAACGUGCUUACAAAGCUUACACAUUUCAAGCAUCCCGCUAUCCAAAACUAGUGACUAUAGCCAAAUACUGCUAAUAGCUUCCUCCAACUCUCAUCCUGGAAUCCUGGCCUUACCAGUAGCCCGAGGGUCAUCAUUACCAAUCUUCUCUGCC
rnacentral:lncRNA from 1 species